AAAAUAUUCAUCUUAUAAAUCAUCAGAUGUCAUGAUCGUUACAACUUCAAACGAAAAUACAAAUGAAAGAGAAAUAAGAACAACAACUCAAAAGAUCAAAAACUCAACAUCACUAUAACUGGAAACCAAGGAUAGGCAAACUCAUGCAGCAACCUUCUUCUCGAACCACUUCUUGAACCUUGCCUUCAACCUCGCCUCUGGCUCCCAAGUCUCCUCUGUCACACCAUCGCAGUUCCGCAGGACUUUGAUCAAAGGAAUCUUCUUCCGCCGAAGUUCCUUGAUCCUCCUCUCGAGAACCCUCACUGGUCUCGCCUCCAAAGUCAUGUUGGGCUGAAGAUCCUCUGGAAUCUUAGCCAACACCUCAUCAUCCUUGUGAAGACACUUCCUCAGCAUCGACACAUGAAAGACCUUGUGAAACGCACGCAUAACAUCUGACAACUCUAACCUGAAUGCCACUGGUCCCACCCUCUCAACAAUCCUGAAUGGACCCAUGUACCUCAGACUCAACUUAGUCUCUGAGAUAGACCUGUUCGGACCUCGCAACAUGGCCAUCUUGAGAUACACUGUCCCCAACCUCAAACUCAAGCUCUUUCCUCCUCUUGUCAGCAUAACUCCGUUGUCGGUUCUGAGCUUCCUUCAUGUUCAGCUUCAGAACCCGGAUCCUCUCCGUGAUCUCCUGAACAUAAUCUGCACCAUAUAUGCUCCUCUCCCCCACUUGGGUCCAGCAUAAUGUCCUGCAUGGCCUCCCGUACAACACCUCGAAAGGAGCCAUCCCAAUACUCGCCUGAUAGCUGUUGUUAUAAGCAAACUCUACCAAACUCAAGUGAUCCGCCCAAUGACCUCUCCAAUCCAAGACACACAUCCGCAACAUAUCCUCAAGCGUCUGAAUAGUCCUCUCAGAUUGCCCAUCUGUCUGAGGAUGAUAAGCCGUGCUCAUCUGCACCUUAGUGCCCAUCUCUGCCUGAAAGGCUCUCCAAAAAGCAGAAGUAAACUUGGAAUCCCUGUCUGACACAAUACUCACAGGUACUCCAUGCAACUUCACAAUCUCGCUCACAUAUUUCUUAGCCAACACCGCCGCUCCAUCGGUUUUUCUGAUGGCCAAAAAAUGUGCUGACUUAGUCAGACGGUCCACGAUCACCCAAAUAGCAUCUUUGGUCCGCGACACAGGCAACCCAACCACGAAAUCCAUCGUGAUAAAAUCCCACUUCCACUCAGGAAUGGGUAAACUCUGCAACAGGCUACCCGACACCUGAUGCUCAAUCUUAACUAACUGGCAAACAUCGCACUCUUCGACCCAAUUACCUACAUCCCUCUUCAUCCCGACCCACUGAUAGUACCGCUUGAGGUCUCGGUACAUCUUAGUCGCUCCUGGAUGAAUGGAAAACAUGCUCGCAUGAGCCUCACUCAAGAUCUCCUGUCGCAACUCCUUAUCCUUAGGCACACAAACUCGCCCAUGCACAAGGAUAGUUCCAUUAGCUGCGAACUGAUACUCAAAGCCCUCUGCCUUAGAAGCCGCAAUCAACCCCUCAUCCUUCUCUUGAGCUAACUGAACUCUACUCAGAAGAUCUGUUUGAUCCACAGCUUCCAAUCCCAAUGGCUCCCGUGCCACAGCACACAACCGCAAAGCACCAAUCUCAAUCACCAAGGUCUCAACACUCUGCCCUGGAGCCGCACCCACGCGCUUACGACUCAAAGCGUCUGUAACCACAUUAGCCUUACCAGGAUGGUAGGCUAUCUCCAGAUCAUAAUCAGCCACCAGCUUCAUCCAUCGCCUCAGCCUCAGGUUCAGCUCUAGCUGAGUGAAGAUAUACUUCAAACUCUUAUGAUCUGUGAACACCUACACAUUCCCGCCAUAAAGAUAAGACCUCCAAAUAUUCGAGGCAAAGAUCACUGCAGCCAUCUCCAAAUCGUGAGUGGGAUAGUUGCCCUCAUGUUUCUUCAACUGCCGCGAUCCAUAGGCAAUAACCUUCCCACGCUGCAUCAGAACACAACCCAAACCAACUCUCGAGUCAUUAAACCCAGAAGAGACUCUCCUUAACAAAAUUAUUCUAACAACGAUUAAAGCCAGGAGAGACUCUCCUUGCGUCUGAAACAGUCCAGAAACGUCCUACAACAUGUCACAACCAAAAGUAACCUUUGAAGCAAACUGUACAUAAAAAACAAAAACAAACAGUCUCAAAGAUGAAACCCUAAAAUACACACUAACUGUUAAUUAUUAAAUCCCUCCGAUGAAACGCUAGCCUUAGACGUCGCAAAGCUUCCCACAAAAAUUCGUGCCGAUCGGAAGCCAGAUGAGACUACGAUCGCAGUUACAAUCCCCGCUGGUCCUAAUUCGCGUCUGAGAAAACGUGUCUCACAAAACUGCGAAUAACUCAACCAAUUGUAAUCCAAAAUCACUUCUGUAAACUGGAGAGUAACAAUAAAAGACUUGGAAAUAACCCUACCAAAUUUCGUUACCUUUGACAGUGAUUUUAUAUGUCGAAAACGUUUCCUCCCAAACCCUAACGAUUCUGGUUCUUCUCCUUCUCUGACUUUUUCUCCUUUAUAAAACGAAAAGUGGAUAACUAAAGCCCUAAUUUCGAGUUUAUUUCUUUUAUAGGCACACUAUAGAGUUUUCAAUUAACCCAACCGAUUAAACCGGAUGAUUUAAAUACAAACCCUAACCAAUUUUCCGGUUCACGGGCGUUAUAGAAUGAAUGAAAACAUGUUUUGCACACAAAAAAAAAAGAGUUCUUAUAAUUUAAAAACAAAAAUAAUCAUAACAUGUUUAUAAAAUAUAAAAUCAGAUUAUGUUUAAUAAAUAUAAAAUCCUUUAUACCAAACAAUAAUAAUAAAGUGAUUAAAUUU
rnacentral:sRNA from 1 species